CCAUUCUUGCCAAGAGUUGUUGAAGAAUCGGGAUUUAUAUUUGUUCUACCGAUCGUUUUAAUCAAAGAAGGUGAUAACUCGUGCACGAAGCGUGAUAACAAAGGGAAAGAAGUACUUAAGGUCUAAACGGUCGAGGUUGAGCGGCGACGAGCGGUUGGCGGUGUUGAGCCAACUAAACAAAUUGAUAGUAUUGUCUUGAAACUCCGAGUGUCGUCGUGUCUUCAC